rnacentral:rRNA from 1 species
AUUGAACGCUGGCGGCAGGCCUAACACAUGCAAGUCGAACGGUAACAGGAAGAAGCUUGCUUCUUUGCUGACGAGUGGCGGCCGGGUGAGUAAUGUCUGGGAAACUGCCUGAUGGAGGGGGAUAACUACUGGGAACGGUAGCUAAUACCGCAUAACGUCGCAAGACCAAAGAGGGGGACCUUCGGGCCUCUUGCCCUCGGAUGUGCCCAGAUGGGAUUAGCUAGUAGGUGGGGUAACGGCUCACCUAGGCGACGAUCCCUAGCUGGUCUGAGAGGAUGACCAGCCACACUGGAAGUGAGACACGGUCCAGACUCCUACGGGAGGCAGCAGUGGGGAAUAUUGCACAAUGGGCGCAAGCCUGAUGCAGCCAUGCAGCGUGUAUGAAGAAGGCCUUCGGGUUGUAAAGUACUUUCAGCGGGGAGGAAGGGAGUAAAGUUAAUACCUUUGCUCAUUGACGUUACCCGCAGAAGAAGCACCGGCUAACUCCGUG